rnacentral:rRNA from 1 species
GAUGAACGCUGGCGGCGUGCCUAAUACAUGCAAGUCGAGCGAACAGACGAGGAGCUUGCUCCUCUGACGUUAGCGGCGGACGGGUGAGUAACACGUGGAUAACCCACCUAUAAGACUGGGAUAACUUCGGGAAACCGGAGCUAAUACCGGAUAAUAUAUUGAACCGCAUGGUUCAAUAGUGAAAGACGGUUUUGCUGUCACUUAUAGAUGGAUCCGCGCCGCAUUAGCUAGUUGGUAAGGUAACGGCUUACCAAGGCGACGAUGCGUAGCCGACCUGAGAGGGUGAUCGGCCACACUGGAACUGAGACACGGUCCAGACUCCUACGGGAGGCAGCAGUAGGGAAUCUUCCGCAAUGGGCGAAAGCCUGACGGAGCAACGCCGCGUGAGUGAUGAAGGUCUUCGGAUCGUAAAACUCUGUUAUUAGGGAAGAACAAAUGUGUAAGUAACUAUGCACGUCUUGACGGUACCUAAUCAGAAAGCCACGGCUAACUACGUG